AACGAACGCUGGCGGCAUGCCUAACACAUGCAAGUCGAACGAGACCUUCGGGUCUAGUGGCGCACGGGUGCGUAACGCGUGGGAAUCUGCCCUUGGGUUCGGAAUAACAGUUAGAAAUGACUGCUAAUACCGGAUGAUGUCUUCGGACCAAAGAUUUAUCGCCCAGGGAUGAGCCCGCGUAGGAUUAGCUUGUUGGUGGGGUAAAGGCCUACCAAGGCGACGAUCCUUAGCUGGUCUGAGAGGAUGAUCAGCCACACUGGGACCGAGACACGGCCCAGACUCCUACGGGAGGCAGCAGUGGGGAAUAUUGGACAAUGGGCGAAAGCCUGAUCCAGCAAUGCCGCGUGAGUGAUGAAGGCCUUAGGGUUGUAAAGCUCUUUUACCCGGGAUGAUAAUGACAGUACCGGGAGAAUAAGCCCCGGCUAACUCCGUG
rnacentral:rRNA from 1 species